rnacentral:rRNA from 1 species
UACGGAGGGAGCUAGCGUUGUUCGGAAUUACUGGGCGUAAAGCGCACGUAGGCGGCUAUUCAAGUCGGGGGGUGAAAGCCCGGGGCUCAACCCCGGAACUGCCCUCGAAACUAGAUAGCUAGAAUCUUGGAGAGGUCAGUGGAAUUCCGAGUGUAGAGGUGAAAUUCGUAGAUAUUCGGAAGAACACCAGUGGCGAAGGCGACUGACUGGACAAGUAUUGACGCUGAGGUGCGAAAGCGUGGGGGAGCAAACAGG